rnacentral:rRNA from 1 species
AUUGAACGCUGGCGGCAGGCCUAACACAUGCAAGUCGAGCGAGCGGCGGACGGGUGAGUAAUGUCUGGGAAACUGCCUGAUGGAGUGGGAUAACUACUGGAAACGGUAGCUAAUACCGCAUACCAUCAGAUGUGCCCAGAUGGGAUUUGCUGUGAGUUGGGGUAAUGGCUCACCUAGGCGACGAUCCCUAGCUGGUCUGAGAGGAUGACAAGCCACACUGGAACUGAGAAACGGUCCAGACUCAUACGGGAGGCAGCACUGGGGAAUAGUGCACAGUGGGAGCAAGCCUGAUGCAGCCAUGCCGCGUGUGUGAAGAAGGCCUUCGGGUUGUAAAGCACUUUCAGCGGGGAGGCGUUACCCGAAGAAGAAGCACCGGCUAACUCCGUGCCAGCAGCCGCGGUAAUUC